rnacentral:lncRNA from 1 species
GGGGUAGGCGGCAGGCGCAGGGGCUAGGCCUAGGGCCUUGACCGGCCCUUUACAUCAAAAUUCAAAUUUUUUGUUUCUUUUUUUAUUUUAUUUUUCAAAUUUUCAUAAUUAUAAUUCUAUUUUUUCCCCACACAAUUUUAUCUAAUUCACAUUAUCCCCCACCCAAUUUUAUCUAUAAAUAGCCCCUUCUUCCACCUUCAAACUCACCCCAUUGUAUUAACAAUUCUACACUCUCCUCUCUUCUACUUCUAAUUCUCCUCCAUUCUUUAUGUGCUAUUG